rnacentral:lncRNA from 1 species
CGAGGAGGGGGCUGGCACAGGUACUGCUGCACGGAGCUCAGAGCACACAUUGGGAAAGGCACAGCAGCGAGGAUCCAGAAUCACCUUUUCUCCAGGCAGCCUUUUUUUGGGCCAGGACUUGGCUGUGUGUCUAUAUGCAGCUCCUAGCACAGCGGGACGCGGAGCACGAUAGGACCUCUGGAUCCCAUAGUGAUGCUGGUACUGGGAGAUGACUGGAGAUGCUGGCUGGAGCUCUACGCCUGACAGCAGCCCAGGAGCAGGACUGGUCUGGCUACCCUGAAACACUGAGAUGUGAUCGAGUCUGAGCUGGUUACCAUGCUCCAGUGCUCACUGGAGGUCUGACUGCAGCAUGAGGUGGCAUUUGAAAUGUCUCUGAUGGUGGCCCCAUUCAGGCAUUGGAACGUGUUGUCUGGGGAAAUGGCAAGUCUACAUGCCUGGAGGUACUGAAGACAUUCAUGGAUGUGGCACCAAGGGACAUGGAAUAGAGAUGGGACUUGGGCAAUGUAAAUGGGACUUCACCCCAUCCCCACCUCCUGACUUGAGACUGUGGCUUGAGAACAGCAGGAAUUGCUCAUGGGACAGACCAGGGAUGUAUAUAUCAAGGCUGGAACACAGAGAUGAAAGCAUCCCGGGGGCAGGCAGAAGAGUGGGGCUGGAAUUCAGCUUCCUCACUGCAAGAUUUCACUUUCACUGAGUAGAUAUUUGGUAAAAUAUCUCUUCCUCCUCAUGCUGAGGACCUUAUUGCUCCCCAGGCCUGAGCACAGGAUCAUUCAACAGAAAGACAUUGAAAAAGUCAGCGUUGGCUUUUUCUCUCUGCAAAUAACACCGUGUUUCAGAGAGGCUGAAAUUGCAACAUGAAUCAAAGCAGACAGCUGGAGUCUAUGCGUGCAGCCUGCAGCCCUCAUGCACUGAAGGGCCUGCCCUGUCCCCAGGACGUCUAUGGACGCUCCAAGGUGAGAGCCCUGAGAGCAGUGCCUGGUGAGGAGCAGUGUCCUUCAGGUGACACCCCAAAGGCUUGUGCUCAUCCCAUGGGCAUCUAUGAGAAGAGCAGCUGCUGGGCCAGCUUCUUGAAGGUGGGAAAUCUCCUCUUGGGAGCAGUAAUUGAUGAUAACUCCCCAUUUGGAGCACACGGUGAGUCCCAGAGCCAUGCUCACAGCACCCUGAGUCUUCCAUACUGGAGUGGUGUUGCUCCCUGCCCACCAGCACUGAGGCUGCAGCAGAUUUGCUGUUUUAACAUAGCAUUGCAUCCCGGCUCCGUGUGCCAAAAUCAAUAAAGGGAUCAUGAAUGAUAUUUCAAUAAUAACGAUCAUGAGAACAAAUAUAGCCGUGUGCUGGGUGCUGUGCUCAAAUGCAACAGCACAGUCCCUCUGUUGUAUUUAAAGAUCCUGACCCUGGCUGGUUAGAUACCAGGAAAUCUGCUUAUUGAUUUAAUGACCUUUGGCUGAAGUCGUGAGCAGAGAGGAGGCAGAGGAGGAUGGAAUAGAAUCACAGAGCCAUCAAAUCACUGAGGUUGGAAAAGACCUCUGGGAUCUUCAAGUCUGACCCCUACCCAUCCCACCAUGCCCACCAGCCGUGUCCCUCGUGCCAUGUCUCCAUGCUUCCAGAACACUUCCAGGGAUGGUGACUCCACCACUUCCCUGUUUUAAUGCAUUACUUAAAGGUCUUUUCCAGCUUUAACAACUCUAUGACUAUGACCACUUCUUCUGAGAAGGAACCCUUCCCAAUAUCCAAACUGGAGAGCAGGGAUGCAGCUUGCUUGGCUGGGUUUGUUUCAUUCUACCCUUUUACCCUCUUUCUCUUCGUACUCCAGCACCAAGCUUGUCCAUCCCCAGGGAUAAGCACACCUUAUAGCCCCACGCUCCUCCCAAGGGUGGGUACAUCAGCACAGCCACACAGUGUGGCGCUCCCACCCGGGAGCCACCCUGCAGGAGGGUCUUUGGGUGCCCUCCUUCACCCACAGCUAUUUCCACCUGUGGGGCUGUCUAUGGAUAUCUCACCCCCAGGUCUGUGGGGCAGCCCUGGCUGGGGCCAUGCCUUGCCAAAAGCAUUUCCUGGUGAGUUGCAGCCCCGUGGUGAGCCAGCUGCUCGGCAUGGCUGAGAAUCGACAGGGAACCAAGCGGGUGGAGGAUUUUAAUACCUAUCCCUCUCAAACUGCUAUGGAAAGGGAAAGUUCAUUGGUUGUCGAUAUUAUCCUGCUGUGAUAAAAGCUUAAGAAGCUGCUUUGCAAAUGCCCACUGCGAGGAGCAUGCUAUAAAUGUUUCCAGCAUGAAGUGAUACAUCACAGCUCAUGGAUGUUCCCACUGAGAAAGACCCCAGCUCCAGCUUCUUCCAGGGACGCGCUUAGGAAAUGCAAUCUACCACUGCCAGCAUAAUCAAACACAUAUUGUUCCCAGGCACCAAAGUGGCCACCGGUGAAUUGAUACUUGGGAGCACUUUGUUCUUACACAGCUCUUCAUCUGUCACUCUCAAAAUCUGUGGGUUUUCUCCUUCUUUUUGUUUUUACAAGGGGUUCCUAUUACCAUCUCCACUCUGCCAGGAGGGAAACUGAGGCUGGGAAUGUCACCCAUGACUGCUGAGUCUGUGGACGUCUCCUUGGAAUCACAUCAGUUCAUUACAGGCACAGCUUUCCUUUGGCCAUCAGUGUCCAUCUGCUCAGAUGUUCCGGAGCUCCAUCAUGAAAGCCUGGGAAAUUUAUUUAUUUCAACCCAUUUAAAGUGAUUUCACUAAUGUAUUCCACAGAGUGGGUUUAGCGUGUGAGCUCUUUACUAAAAUCAUUACUGUAUUAAUGAGACCUAACCUAAAGCCACUGAACAUGACUUUAAAGGAAUAUCUCAAAGCGGCGGCUGAGAUGGAUGGGAGCAGGCAGAACGUGUUUGUAAAGUUAUAUUUAGUCAAAUCAAACUGGAACUCAUUAAAUACAGCAAAAUAAUUCACUGAAUAAUUCACUCCAGUUGAAUGCGAAGGAUUUGGAGAACCUUGGGUUGUUUGAUUGAAAAGCAGGUUAUUGAUGCUCCUGUGCAUGUGACAGAGCAGAAAUAGGAGUGGGAGGUGGAGAGCUGUCACCUCGGUGUGAAGGGCCUUCCGUGGAGAAAGGUCCAUCAGAACCAAAGGUUGGCAAAGCGUGGCUGGAAUUAAGGCUCACGCUUUUGUUUGGGAGGGAAAUGAACAGCAGCCCCUGAGUGGGGAGUAUGGGAUGUAGGAGAGCACUCUGGGAGCAGCGCAGGGUCAGAGGAGGAAUGGCUCCAGCAGUGCCUUUGCUUAUACCCAAGCAGGGCAUGCACCUACUCUUAAAGCAAGUAAAACCUCAUUCCCUCAUUCGUGCAAACUUCAGGCCACACCUCAGACCUGGUCCCAACCAUUCAGCCAUCCCUACAGCAUCGGAGAGGAUCAGCUUUGCUUCACAUAUGAGAAAACCCUGGCACAGACACCAUGGCAGCUCAGCCAUGUGUCCCCUCCGCACCCCCUCCUCCUUUAACCCCAUUCAUGCCAGCAUGCUCCGCUCUGGAAUCUCCCAGCAAAAGGAAAAGCUUUAAACAAAAUACAAUUUUACAGUUCAUUUCAGUUAAUCACAGAGUCUAUGUUCUGAAAUGAUCUUCUCGGCAUUGCCUAUGGAGAGAAGCAAUGGCUGAUUGGCAUUCCAUUACUAAACAGCUAAGCCAUUCAUAAUGCAAAAAAACAGACUUGAUGGAAAGAUUUGAUUCAGUUUUCAAGCUAGACUAAUUCAAAACCCAGUGCUCUAUAAAUCAGAGCAAAUGUUCUUUAUAAAAAAAAUAUAGCCGAGCCUGUGUGCAGUAUCAGAUCUAUGAUUUAUGCCUGUAUCCCAUUAAACUGAAGGACAAGCGAGGGGAGCACAGGGCUGCCACUGCAUGCCAGCUCCCUGCCUGCCCCGCAAUAAACACGUUCUGUGACUGCAGGAACAGUGUGAUGUCUGAGGGACGUUUGGGGGCUGAGGGGAUGUUCUGUUUUCCAGGGGCACAGCAAAGCCCCUUGGGGGGCUGUGGAGCCUGCAGGAGGGCAGGGGAUGGUGCCUCGGAGCAGCAGGGCUGUGCUGAAGCCCUCGGUUUUUCCUUCUUUGCUGCACCACCUCAUGCCCUGCAGAGUCCCUUCUGCAGAGAUACCACUGUUUUUCAGCCUGCAGGUGGGAUGUCUCCUUUGAGCAUCACAGGAUACAACAGUUCCCCAGCACCACUUUCAGGCUGCAGCAGAAGGAAGCGGUCCAGGAAACAUCCCACGCGUGUUUCCUUCCUGCUAAACCUCUCCACCCGAUGGCAGCUUCAGCGCUGUGCAUUGCUUUGGUGCAUGGAGCAGUGCUGUGUUCCACACCAAGCCCUGGGUGUGGGUGUUCUUCCACCUCUCCGUGCAUCUCCUGCUCUUGUUUGCCUUCUCUACAGCCCACGUGGCUCCACACCGAGUGGAGCUGGGGGCCGUUAACAUCUGUUGGCACUCCAGAGCUCGUGGGGAAAACGAUGCCAUCUUUCAGGGACCGCCGCUGACAUUUUAAAAGCCGUGUCUGAAAUCCCUGAACAAUUAAGAGCGAGGCUUUCACAUUCCUCCCUACCCACAGCAUUGCACAGGCAAGGCACCAGCUGAGAAGUGCGUGGUGAUAGGAAAAGCCACGAUUAAUGAAUAAUGGAGCGCUGGCAAUAUGUAACUUCCAGGCGGAGCCAUCAUAAUUCAAUCCAAGCAGCAAUAUCAGGGCCUUUCCUUGGAGGAGUCUAAGCAGUGGUUAAAUAUUCAAUAAAAAAAAAAGAUGGC